AGCGUUUCCAAGCCUGUUUCACAUUCUGUAAACGUCAGUUGACUGGGUACUGGAGGAACUCGCAGCACAGGCCAGUUUAGGAUCCUAUGGGAAGACAAGAAUAUGCCAGACCUGGCCCAAGUCCAGGAAGACAGAGGAGCUGGUUGGUAGCCCAAAAGAAAGCCUGCCGCAGGAAUGCAGAGGAAGCAUUGUGAGAUCACCAUCAGCCUGGACAAUGUAAGGCCUUGUCUUAACAUCAAGCAAGCAAAGUAAUACAUGAACAAAAGCACAGGGGAUAAUGAGACUGAACAGAUACCGGAUGCGUGUGUCCUGUUUAUAGGACUACGUGAGAGCAGCCCAAAGAAGAUGAACCCAUAAAUCUUUGAUCUUGAGAUACGAAGUCUACAGAAGCCAAAGGACAUGCUGGUCUUUGCUGGUCCUGGACUGUCCAAUGUGUAAAGAAGAUCUUCCUUGGAGUCUAAAAAGGGUGGAUCAAACUGAAGGGGAGACUGGAGACCAAAAGACGGUUAAACACGAAACAACAUGCUGAGGUCCCCACCUUGCAGAAUCUCUAAGAGACUUUACUGCUCCUUGGUGUCCCCUCCAAGUGCCUACAUCUUCUCCAUGUCUUCUGCCUGCCGAUGGUAUUACACCUGAGCCAUUGCUACUGAAAUUGCCACAGCCUGAAGCCUCAGGAGCCAUCACGAGCUAGACUGGACCACCAAUAAGUCUUCUGUCGGCUAAUAAAAACUGGUGAAAAGCAGCAGAAGGAGUUUCCUUCAAUGCUUCUACACUAGGAGGAGGAGGUGGUUUAGUGAGUCCCACCACUCCCUUUGUGAUCCUAAGGAGAGGUUUAGCUAAGCAGGAAUAAUGCAUAGCUAAGCAGCCCUGGUCAAGAUGUGGUAUGAUCCAUCAUCAUUGCCUGUGCUCCAUUCUCUGUUGCAAGACAGUGUGAGAAAUUGUAAGAAAUGCAUGGCUGGUUGUGGUGGCACACACGAUAGGAUUUGCUGAAGGAGGCACAAGCAGGAGGAUCACGAGUUUGAGGCCAGCCUGGGCUACGCAUUUGUCAGCUUGAUUGGAAGGUCUGUCUUUGCUGUCCAUCUCUCUUGAAAAAAAAAAGAAAUGCAUGAAAUCUCCUCUUGAAAGAUAGAUUUCACCUCAAGUUGGCAGCAGCCUUCAGACUUUUCCUUCUCCCAGCAUGAGAUUUCCAGGUAAAAUCCAAGUCCUUAGGGAACAUUGUUUUAAUACCCUCACAGCCACAGCGGGGGUUGGGGGGGUGUGCACAAGUGACUCUUGUAAAACAUCUCCAUUCUUAUCAAGAUGCUUAUACCAUGAUAUUCAAAUGAGAGAAAUCCAGCCAUAGGCCAAGAGAAGAGAGGAGGGAAAGAAGUCCAUGAUUUUUCUCAAUCCCUGAAGGGCUUAAGAACACAUUACUACCAAACAUUUUCUCCUACAUAGACCCCAGAGCAGUGGUUUUGAACCGUCUUAAUGCUGCGACCCUUUAAAACAAUUCUUCAUGUUGUGGUGGCCUCCAGCCACAAAGUUAUUUCUUUGUUCCUCCCUCUCUU